UAUCCGGAAUUAUUGGGCGUAAAGCGUGCGCAGGCGGCUUUGCAAGACAGAUGUGAAAUCCCCGGGCUUAACCUGGGAACUGCAUUUGUGACUGCAUGGCUGGAGUGCGGCAGAGGGGGAUGGAAUUCCGCGUGUAGCAGUGAAAUGCGUAGAUAUGCGGAGGAACACCGAUGGCGAAGGCAAUCCCCUGGGCCUGCACUGACGCUCAUGCACGAAAGCGUGGGGAGCAAACAGG
rnacentral:rRNA from 1 species